rnacentral:lncRNA from 1 species
UCUUAUUUCUUUCGAAUUAAGAGGUGCAACUCUAUGACAUAGUCAUAAAGUUCAAACCAUUCAACUGAGACAAUUUAUAAAUCCUUCUCGACUACCUUAGAGCUUGUGGUAUAGGAACUAGGUUGUUAUAUUUGUUGGUUAUCAUCUUGUCUCUCAAAGAACCCAUUCUUUGAGUUCUAUCUCUCGUUCAUUUGCUCUAUGUUAGGAAAAUCCUAGUGUAGGAUUACAAUGAACUACCCAACAAACAACAUUUGUUAGUUGGUUUAUAGAAGUGAUAUCCAAAUGUUAAUUUAAGGAUAUCCACAAGAUAAUUCUCAAACAAAUAUUGUUUAUUAGCACACAACCCCAAAUCUUAACAUGAUUAACAUUUGUCUUUCUUUCCAACUACAUCUUAUGGAGUCAUGAAAAUUUUGGAAGAUCUUCUAAUUGACAAUCAUAUUGUCUUAGAAGCAUAUAUCUUAUAUAUGGGUAAUUGAUAACAUCCAACGAACUAAAUCUUAUUCAAGUUCGUUCUUGUCCUAAUGGAGAAAUCCAUUAUC